rnacentral:lncRNA from 1 species
CCGCCGCCGGGUGCCGCUGCUGGUCAGUAUGCGUGCCACCGGAACAGGUCGGGGAGCUUCCGGUUGGUGCGUGUGCCUCCUUCCUUUAGCACAAGCAGCAGGUAGUGUUUACUGUUAGUGUGUUACCACACAUAGACUAUUCCUAAUAAUACAGAAAUAAUUAGCUACAACUUACAACUUGUGCCGCGCGUGUCAAUUUCAUUGAUGAAGGUUGUUCAGUGAGUAUUGUAGUAUCUAGUCACUUUUAUGUAAAACAUGCGGAAUUGUUUAGUGUUGUGUUUUCUAGAGAACAUGGGUGGCUGGAGAUUCCUAAGGCAAUGUGUUUGUUCGAAUCGGAUGAUGUAGUAUUUCAGCGUAAAUACUGUUGACCACUAGUCCCUCCUAUAUGUCAGUUCUGAUGUCAAGUUAUUACAGUUUAGGUGCAUCCUACUACUGAACUUAAUUGCAAUGGCAGCGUGAGUGAAUGGACUCAUCAGUCAUAGCAUUUCACCUAAGGGACAAAUUUUAUUUUAUGCAUGUCUCACAUAGCAUACACCCUUCCCCUUUUAGCAAGAGGCGCUCAGUUCAGCGUGUUUACAGUUUCAUACCCUUAUGUUCUCAUGUGGUGGCUAUCUAAAAUAAAAUGCCUGAACAUCCGUCCUCCAAGCACGCCACCUUUUUGUGUUAAUUACCAAUUCCAUUUUUUCUGGGGGGUCGAGCACCACCAUACUAAUACUAACUUCGUAUCCAUGAUUUCCUCUGGUGCAGGCCCAGGGCAUUAGCACCAUCCCAACGAAAUUGAUGGACCAAGUAACCAGCUGCAAGUUCUUCAAUGUAACUAAAUGCUUUACAAGACUCUAAAUAGCCAAUACUUACUAGUUAGUACACAUGUGUAGUAGUACUGUACUAUAAUCUUCUUCCUCAACUACUACAAUAGCACUUGUAGUAGUGGUGUCUUACUGCCAGUGACAGUUUAUCGAGUUUAUUAACUCCAAAUGAAGUGAACUGGUCAUAAUUCUCUAGAUGCGGUACAUAGUGCUAUAUGUUUCCUUGCCUCACCAACAAAACGUACUAAUAUGUCUCUUGUGACACGCUAGGUCAAUUCUACGCCUUCGAGAAACCUGUAGUACUUGUAUCUCUGCAUGUUUGAGCACUCGAGAAGUACUUCAAAAUGGAGUAGCUUAAUUCACCGAAUUUGGUUGUAGUACUAGUUGAUUCACUGAGAAGAUUCAGUAAUGAGUUGAUUCACUAGGAAGACUCAGUUUUUUGUGUUGGCUUCUUUCCAUUGUGGAGCUUGCUGUGUGACAAGUCUGUUCAUUCCUCUAGAUGUCAUGUCACUUGGCAUAAGUAAUUAAGUAGGAAUAGUUUUAGGUGAAUUGUAGCUUUGCUAUUGUUUCAUUUCAUCUGAUACAGGCAUGAAAUUGAACUGCACUUGAUGCAGCGCCAUUAUGGUCCCUGAAAUUAGCUUCUGUUGUUGAAUUUUUUAUCUCCUCGCCUAAGAACAACAGUAUCAUCAUAUUCUACCAGGCCCUUUGUUUGUUUAUGUGAGCUUGCCUCUAUGGCUAGCACAUAUCAUAUGUGAUCCAUGCUGUCUCUUUUCCGCCCACUGAAGCUUGGAGCAAAGUGGCAUAUUACUUUUGUGAUAACUGAGAGAACUACGAGGCUUUCUUUUCUACUUUGGCAUAUAAUAUUAGAAUUAAUAUUGUUUUUAUUUGAAUUUUUUUAUUAGGCUAUUAGUGCGAAACUUCCAAGUUAUAACUAUCCUUGCAUUUCUUACUCCAAUUGUGAAAGGACUAUAUAUAGUCUGUGUGCUUCUGUGAAUAUAUUUGAGUACAUUUUUAUCAUGCUGCUGUAAUAUGUAAUGUAGUUUUCGAAGCAUGUCUGCUGUUGUAAUUCAGUAUUUAUAUGCAGCAACAGAUUAUCCAGUACUGUUGCUUACAUGCUUCUGGCCGUUGAUACUUUUCAUUUUUCUCAGUUCUUCUUGCUUCGGAUUGCUUCCUCCAUGACACCCUGAUCCAGAUGACGGCAGCAGCGAUGGCGUCCACACUCAAGCGUGCCUACCUCUCCAUCUAUAACUGGUCCAUCUUCUUUGGAUGGUUAGCUGCUUCCUCCCCACUUUGAAAUCUCGAUCUCCUUUCUUGUUGAUGGGCUUGUUGAAUGAUUUGUAUAUGUGUGGAUGUAGGGUGCAGGUGCUCUACUACACGCUUCUGGAUAGUUUACCUGGACGUGUAUGUCGCCAGUCGAGAGGCGUCUCCAGCUUGCGCAGACCGCCGUCUGGCUCUAUCAUUGAUCAGUUAUCUGUAACUUGCCGACGUGUUUUCUAGGACGCUAGUUUUGUAUUUUGCCUAUAACUGCAUGAGUCAUUCUCGCUGAAAUGACAUGAUUUAGCUUUUAGUUCUUCUAGCCAAACAUGUGUUUUAGCCUUUUG